CCUACGGGUGGCAGCAGUGGGGAAUAUUGGGCAAUGGGCGCAAGCCUGACCCAGCAACGCCGCGGGAAGGAAGAAGGCUUUCGGGUUGUAAACUUCUUUUAAGAGGGAAGAGCAGAAGCAGGUACCUCUUGAAUAAGCCACGGCUAACUACGUGCCAGCAGCCGCGGUAAUACGUAGGUGGCAAGCGUUGUCCGGAUUUACUGGGGGUAAAGGGCGUGCAGCCGGGAAGACAAGUCAGAUGUGUAAUCCCGGGGCUCAACCGCGGAACUGCAUUGUAAACUGUUUUUCUUGAGUACCGGAGAGGUCAUCGGAAUUCCUUGUGUAGCGGUGGAAUGCGUAGAUAUAAGGAAGAACACCAGUGGCGAAGGCUGAUGACUGGACGGCAACUGACGGUGAGGCGCGAAAGCGUGGGGAGCAAACAGGAUUAGAUACCCCAGUAGUC
rnacentral:rRNA from 1 species